CUACGGGUGGCUGCAGUGGGGAAUAUUGGGCAAUGGGCGCAAGCCUGACCCAGCAACGCCGCGUGAGGGAAGAAGGUUUUCGGAUUGUAAACCUCUGUCCUUGGGGACGAAGAAGUGACGGUACCCAAGGAGGAAGCUCCGGCUAACUACGUGCCAGCAGCCGCGGUAAUACGUAGGGAGCAAGCGUUGUCCGGAAUUACUGGGCGUAAAGGGUGCGUAGGCGGCAUAUUAAGUCAGGUGUGAAAUACUCGGGCUCAACCCGGGGGCUGCAUUUGAAACUGAUAUGCUUGAGUGUGAGAGAGGAAAGUGGAAUUCCUAGUGUAGCGGUGGGAUGCGUAGAUAUUAGGAGGAACACCAGUGGCGAAGGCGACUUUCUGGCUCAUAACUGACGCUGAGGCACGAAAGCGUGGGGAGCAAACAGGAUUAGAUACCCUAGUAGUC
rnacentral:rRNA from 1 species